rnacentral:rRNA from 1 species
UACGGAGGGUGCGAGCGUUGUCCGGAAUCACUGGGCGUAAAGGGCGCGUAGGCGGCUUCCUAAGGGGGCGGUGAAAGCCCGGGGCUCAACCCCGGGUCGGCCGUGCCGACUGGGAGGCUGGAGCACUGUAGAGGCGGGUGGAAUUCCGGGUGUAGCGGUGGAAUGCGUAGAGAUCCGGAAGAACACCGGUGGCGAAGGCGGCCCGCUGGGCAGUGGCUGACGCUGAGGCGCGACAGCGUGGGGAGCAAACAGG